rnacentral:rRNA from 5 species
UUGGAACCACCUGAUCCCAUCCCGAACUCAGCAGUGAAACGAUGCAUCGCCGAUGGUAGUGUGGGGUUUCCCCAUGUGAGAGUAGGUCAUCGUCAAGA